rnacentral:lncRNA from 1 species
AGACGGACCCGGCGGGAGAGGAGGAAGCCGGGUUGUGGGCGCGGAGCUGAGGCGGAGGCGGGGCCGGGGCGGGAAGGGGCGGCCCCAGCUGGGUCGGGCGAGGCUGGCUGCGGGAAACCGAGUGAGCCCUCGCUUUUCCUCCGGGGUCCGCGCGCGGGACCCUAUUUCUGGCCUGUCUCGCGCUUCGCCUGCGCGGUGGUCUCCACGCUGGGACUGCGGCGUCCUCGCAGAACAGCCAGAACUCCACUUCUUCCUGUCCGGGAGGAGUUGUUUAAAACAUGCGUAUCUCCACCUUCUGCUUCUUAGAACAGAACUGACUGAAGCCGUGUUCUUCCCGCCGAGACCAUGCCGCCCCAUCGACCCUGCUGCGGCCAGAGCCACCCAGGGCGGGCCCACUCACCGCAGGCUCGGGCCACUUGGUUCCAAACCUCCACUCCCAUCCAGGGGCCCGGCACACCCACCACACUCCCACUCUCAGAGGUCUUUGCCGCCUGCUUCAGGAGAAAAGAGAAACUUCCACUUUCCACCGGCAAAACUGCACACCUGCUCCCUCCAUCACCGAGCCCCCCCCCCCACCUUCUGUUUUUCCAGUAUCGCAGAAUCCGAUCCGUUGCUCCCUCUGGACUGGAAUCCGUAUCCUCGGCAUUUCAUCAUUCCAAGAUUCUCUACUCCACGUACCCUUGCUGCCACCCUCUUCUACUUUCCAUCGCUGAAGUUGGUGAAAGAGGCGCCUGCCCCCAGUUUUGUGGUCUCUCAACUCCACGUGUUCGUUUUCACACUCGAAUGCUGUCCUGGGGGUGCUCCCUCUUGAAAUCCAGCCACCAAGACUGAGGCACUCAAGACAACACAUAUCCACUUGAGCUCCCAGCCAACUGCCAGCAUCCACCGCCA